rnacentral:rRNA from 1 species
CCCUUAGAUGUUCUGGGCCGCACGCGCGCUACACUGACGAAUGCAACGAGCUUAUAACCUUGGCCGAAAGGUCUGGGUAAUCUCCAAAUUUCGUCGUGAUGGGGAUAGAUUAUUGCAAUUAUUAAUCUUCAACGAGGAAUGCCUAGUAAGCGCAAGUCAUCAGCUUGCGUUGAUUACGUCCCUGCCCUUUGUACACACCGCCCGUCGCUACUACCGAUGGAGUGUUUUAGUGAGGCCUCGGGACCGGUCCUGACUGGCAUUGCCUGACGGACUGGGAACUUGGUCAAACUUGAAUACUUAGAGGAAGUAAAAGUCGUAACA